rnacentral:rRNA from 1 species
UUAGAUCAGAAGCGAGAAUGUUGACAUGAGUAGCGACAAACAGGGUGAGAAACCCUGUCGCCGAAAGUCCAAGGGUUCCUGCUUAAAGCUAAUCUGAGCAGGGUAAGCCGGCCCCUAAGGCGAGGCCGAAAGGCGUAGUCGAUGGGAACCAGGUUAAUAUUCCUGGGCCAGUGGGAUGUGACGGAUCGCAGAUGUAGUUUGCCCUUAUCGGAUUGGGUGGGCUGCUGAGCGGUUCCAGGAAAUAGCCCCACAUCAGACCGUACCCUAAACCGACACAGGUGGACUGGUAGAGUAUACCAAGGCGCUUGAGAGAACCACGUUAAAGGAACUCGGCAAAAUGCCUCCGUAAGUUCGCGAGAAGGAGGCCCCAUAUGUACGCAAGUAUGUGUGGGGGGCACAAACUAGGGGGUGGCGACUGUUUACUUAAAACACAGGGCUGUGCGAAGCCGUAAGGCGACGUAUACAGUCUGACGCCUGCCCGGUGCUGGAAGAUUAAGAGGAGGGGUGCAAGCUCUGAAUUGAAGUCCCAGUAAACGGCGGCCGUAACUAUAACGGUCCUAAGGUAGCGAAAUUCCUUGUCGGGUAAGUUCCGACCUGCACGAAUGGCGUAACGAUCUCCCCGCUGUCUCUAACGUGGACUCAGCGAAAUUGAACUGUGUGUCAAGACGCACACUUCCCGCGGUUAGACGGAAAGACCCCAUGAACCUUUACUCCAGCUUUGCACUGGUAUCAGGAUUGUGAUGUGCAGGAUAGGUGGUAGGCAUUGAAGCGGGGACGCCAGUCUUCGUGGAGCCUCCCUUGAGAUACCACCCUUCGCCAUCUUGAUAUCUAACCGCGGCCCGUUAUCCGGGUCCGGGACCCUGCAUGGUGGGGAGUUUGACUGGGGCGGUCGCCUCCCAAACAGUAACGGAGGCGCGCGAUGGUUGGCUCAGACCGGUCGGAAAUCGGUCGUUGAGUGCAAUGGCAGAAGCCAGCCUGACUGCAAGACUGACAAGUCGAGCAGAGACGAAAGUCGGUCAUAGUGAUCCGGUGGUCCCAAGUGGGAGGGCCAUCGCUCAACGGAUAAAAGGUACUCUGGGGAUAACAGGCUGAUGAUGCCCAAGAGUCCAUAUCGACGGCAUCGUUUGGCACCUCGAUGUCGGCUCAUCUCAUCCUGGGGCUGGAGCAGGUCCCAAGGGUAUGGCUGUUCGCCAUUUAAAGAGGUACGUGAGCUGGGUUUAGAACGUCGUGAGACAGUUCGGUCCCUAUCUGCCGUGGGUGCAGGAGACUUGAGAAGAGUUGACCCUAGUACGAGAGGACCGGGUUGAACGAACCACUGGUGGACCAGUUAUCGUGCCAACGGUAGUGCUGGGUAGCUAUGUUCGGACAGGAUAACCGCUGAAGGCAUCUAAGCGGGAAGCCCCCUUCAAAACAAGGUCUCCCUUGAGGGCCGUGGAAGACGACCACGUCGAUAGGCCAGAGGUGUAAGUGCAGCAAUGCAUUCAGCUGACUGGUACUAAUUGCCCGCAAAC